rnacentral:lncRNA from 1 species
AACACUCCAAGCCACUGGCUUUCUCAGCCCACCCCUGUUAAUAAUGCAGAUGGUCAAGGUUUACAACCCCCACUGCCCAUCCGUCCCUCCAGUGCAGACCCUCAAAGGGCAUCUAGAAGCAGUCAACAUUGCACACCAUCCUCCAAAACCACAGAGUAAGUUUCAAGUUCAACUAUUGGGUCAGGCUAACUUGACCAUUGAAUUAAUAAAAUUGACACUACCAAACUGGCGUGUGCAUUAAUUGUGUUAAUAAAUUUUCAAUUAAAUUGGUCUGUCAUCAGUUAUAUCUUUUACUUGCAAUAAACUCUUCUGCAUUCAUUUUUGAUGUUCUUGUUACCAGAGAGCUGGACAGAAGAGGCAUAGCUGAGAGCACAUUCAUCCACUCUCACCUCAAGUCUGACCUGGAGCGCAUUCGCACAUCAAUGGGCAAAAAUGGGCAGACUUACAGCCCAGUUGCCCUUGAGUCCCCCCCAAGUCAAACCAAACAGCCACUUGUUGUUUAUGAUCUCACAGGUGACAGACCCAACAGCUACCAGGAAGAGAACCGGCGCAUUCUUCUAGAAAGCAGUGAGGUGGCACCAUUUACUGCUAAACUGGGAUCAGAUAGGGAACCCCGAUACCCUAGAAGCCCAACACCUGCUCUUCCUUCUAAGGAGAGGGAGAUAGAAUUGGACAGAGAAAAAGACAGGGACAGAGAGAGAGAUGUGCAUGCAUUUAGACAUGCUCUACCUCCCCGGCCACAAUCGGCCCAUCCAUCCCCAACCCUCACUCCAAGCAGCUACUAUGCAUCUCUGUCUAACAGUGUGGAGAACAGGCCUCCACAGCGCAAAGUGCCAGCCAGCAAAGAGCUCUAUGAGAGGCUGAGUGCCAGCAACUCUGUUGCCCCUGUGUUAACCUCUAGUUCACAGGUCUCUAUGAGAGCCCAACCUCCUCCUCUUGUCAAACGUCAACACGAGAAAGAAGAAGGUCUGCUAGGAAAGAUCACAGAGAAACUUGUUCAUAAAGCAUCUUCCAUGUAUGCAGUAGAGAUGGCAAGUGUGGAGAGAAGAGGGCCAGGCUCUUCUAUCAUUUCUGUCUCCUCUUCUUCCCGCAGUGUGCCUUUACUCCACCGCGCCCCUAUAUUCCACCCUCCAGCACCAACCACUGUGGUUUCUAAAGACUCUGGAAAUGGCAGGUUGUCACCACCAACCCUCACACCCAUUCAACCAAUGAGCUUGUCUGAAAAAGGACAGAAACAACAGAGGCCACCUACCCUGUUGCCUGAAUUCAAACAUGUUGCCUUAGACGGGAAAAGACAUAUGCCGGAAAAAGCAGCAAUGUCAUCACAGGCCUUCAAUACUCAGUGGGGAGGAGUCAUAUAUGGCAGAGAGAAUGUUGGUGGGCACACAAAAAAUGGCGGCGUUGUCAAACCACAGGUGGCUACUGCAUCAGUUAUUGUGCGUCCAACAAGCCACACCCAUACAAUAAUAAAUUACACAGUGUCUGACAGCUCAGUUUCACAGAUGCAUUGCAGCCCCAUAAGGCCAUUGGAAAGCAUGUCCAACUUAAAGUCUAAGGAGGGCAAUGUUCAGCAUAAGAGAGGUGUCCUGUGGACCCCUCUGGAUACUGUCCAUCCAAUCAACAUGACAACUCAAAAGGAAGAUCUCAGUACUCCCAUAAACAUGACAAUGAAGCUAAUUAACACAGCUCAUCCGAGUCAUGGAGUGACACACCCCUUAACCAACAUGAAUGCCUCACAUUCUAAAAUAGACCUAAUUGCAGAGCAAUGCAAGAAGAGAGACAGUGGAGCCAUUCAACCAAAGACGGAGCCCUCUUCAUCUUCUUACUGCACUACAAGAGACUUCCCUCAUUUGAAAAAACACAGAGCUGGACUAACUGCUGCUAUCUCUAGAGCUAACACACAUACAAUUCAGCCUCAACACACUACAUAUCCUUUGAAUGCUAUGACCAAUAACUCUCACCUCUCAGAAAGUCAUUUUGAGUCUCUUACUGCACUCACUACCCACACCGUGUGUUCUGCACAUGUUUUAGAAAGAGAAAAAGAGCCUGUAUUCAACACUAGCACUUCUGAAUCUCUGGCAUCAGGGACUUCCUGCCCUGCACCAACAGACAAACAAGGUUCGCCAACCAAUGGGUAUACAGCUGGAUCAACAAUAAUCAACCAAUCAGCUCAAUCCGGUCAGAACAAUUACCAUAAACUUAAAAAAGCCUGGCUGACCCGCCAUUCUGAGCAAGAUAGAGGCAGUACGGACUCCCAAACACUAGAUGGUACUAAGUCUGCUGUAAUUCUGACGAACACAAGCACCUAUAUACCAGCCAAGCAGGAAGUGAAUGGACUGAUGGACAAUUUGGAGGACAAAAACUCACUUGACAGCAAAAAGCCCAAAAUAUUGAAGAAGAAGCCUACACAAGAGACAAGGAAAUCUAAUAGUAUUGCUACUACGAUCUGUUCAGAAGACAAAAAAUCUGUAAAAGCCGAUGAGAAACCAGUGACAACAGGCAAAAAGUCUUUCCUGCUGGAUAAUGUUAAACCUGUCUUAGACAAAAACUGCAAGCUGGAAGCUAAGGAAUCCAUUGUGGAGGAUAAGAAAUCCACUGAAAAACAUUCUAACCUGGGACAUAUGAAGACAGAGAGGGAGAAGCGAGCCGAGAAACGGCCAUUAGAGUCCAACAGUGACAGCGAGACUGGAGGAGACUCAGGAAAUGAGAGCGAAAAUGGUGAAUCAAGACGAAGGUUCAAACGGCAGCCUAAGACCUCGUUUAAAAUAAAACAGAAUAACAGCCAGAAGAAGAAAGUAGAGGAGGAGGAAGAAGAGGAAGAGGCCAAAGCCAAUGGAACUUUGCAGAGUGCAAAGGAUAAGCCACAGAGGAUUGCUAACAGCAAUGGCAUUCCUCGCUCUGUGCUGAAAGACUGGAGGAAGGUGAGAAAGCUCAAGCAAACUGGAGAAGCUUUCUUACAGGACGACUCCUGUGCAGAGAUUGGGGCAAAUGUGCAGAAGUGCCGAGAGUGUCGUCUGGAUCGCUCGCGUAAGGCACAGGAGCCUACCCUCUCACCUGUGUUUUGCAGAUUCUACUAUUUCCGACGCCUGUCAUACAGUAAGAAUGGCGUUAUCCGCGUGGAUGGGUUUUCGGUGUCUGAGCACACGGAUGAGGAGGCGGUUACGGUGUGGACGGGCAGCACAGAGGACGAGGAAGACAAGAAGAGGAGAGAGAUGGACCUUGAGAUGUCAAAAUCCAUCCUCACGUUCAUCGGAGACCAGUUCUGCAGGCUCGUAAAGACAGAGGACACUGCAUACUCAUGGGUCAAGAAAGACACUCAGAUCAUGUGGAAGCGGGCAGUGAGAGGUGUGAGGGAGAUGUGUGAUGCGUGUGAAGCGACUCUCUUCAACAUGCACUGGGCGUGUCACAAAUGUGGCUUCGUGGUUUGCAUGGACUGCUAUAAAGCCAGAGAGAAGAGGAAAGCCAAAGAUAAGGAGCUGUAUGUUUGGGUCAGAUGUGUGAAGAAUCAGCCCCAUGACCUGAAGAACCUCAUGCCUACUCAGAUUGUCCCUGACUCAGUGUUGGCGGACAUGCAGAACUCUUUGCACUCUUUGAAAGAAAAGUUUGCAAUCUCUUCCCAACGUCCUGGCACUGAAACCAAAUCCAUGGCCACUACCAACGGACUCUCACCGCUUUCAGACACAGAUCAAAGUGACCUGAAUAGUCGGCAGAUCUCAGAUCAGCAGAAGAACUCACAGCACGUCACACUGAGAGCGCACACUGAGAGAAGAGAAAAGGCAGAAUGUGAUGGUGUGGAAGCCCAGAGUAAGAAGUCCACAAGCCCUGAACAGGGAUCAACAUUGCGUGACCUUUUGACGUCCACUGCUGGGAAGUUACGCCUUGGAUCUGCAGGAGGUGCCUUUGCACCAGUCUACAACUUUUCUGAACAGGUAACCCAAAACACUCGCGUACCCAACAUCCUGGAUGACAUUAUUGCUUCUGUAGUAGAAAAUAAGAUUCCCGCUACAAAGAUGGCCAAGGCAGAGCUCAAACAGGAUUCGCUGCCUGAGGAGGAGGCGGGGCAGCGGCCAGAUGGAGUAAAGCUUGAUGAAAGCACAUUGGCUAAUCCCCAUGCCACUGCACCUUAUGAUUGGUUGGGAAAUCACCGACUGCUUUGGCUCAAAGAUCACCGUCACCAAGGCAACCAAAGGCUGUUCAAAGAGAACUGGACACAAGAGCAGGUUUGUAUUGCUCCCACUAGUGGAGUAUUAACUAUAUAUCUACAGAUACCAGGGAGAAGCAAAACACCCUUAAAGUGA